GCCUUGGAAAUGGUUUAAAACCAUGUCUCAGAGCUAUCCAACCCAAGGGGCAAAGGAGGUAGGACAUUUAUGCACCACCUCUUCAGUCAAUGGCUGAGUGCCACAAGGUUUGAAGAAGAUGUGAUGUCCCUGACACUUAAUAGCCUGCCAUGCAAAAAGGCACAGUAGUCUUUGAAGCUUCAGAGAAAGCACUGAGGCAAGGAGAGACAAUUACCUGUACUAGCAGUUGGACGCCAUUUGGGGACCCUGAAGCAAUAACACAUGGAUGCUCCAGGUGGGCCACCAAAUCAUCUGCCAUUGUGGGCUUACAUCCACCCAAUGAGGAUGGACAGAGUGGAUUUCUUUGAGAGAUACUGAGGACUUAGAAGGCUUGGAAGAGUUUGUACUGAAGGAGGGAGAAAGCAAUAGCAUUGCCUAUGCUUUUGGUUUGAAGGGAAGGGUAAAUGUUAGUGAAAUAGCUUUUGAAGGCCUUUAAGAAGAUUGCCUACAUUUUGAAAUCCUACUUCUAUCUGCUGGCCAAAGAUCGGGAGGAACCUCAUCCUCUCAUUAUUAAAGGAGUUGUGGGUGUAGAUUUAACUGUUCUGGUAUCUUAAGGUGGUGAGAUUACAAAUUAUUUUUCUUCCUUUUUUUUUUUUUUUGUCUUCCCUGCUUUCGUUUUAUAAUUAAAAAGGAAUUUUCUUAUAAAAAUACAGCUACUGUGAUAUCUUCUGCUGAACAUGUGGCUCAGCUUACUCACAAGGUCAGGAAAGUUGGGCCCAAGUCAUAAGUGCUUGAACUCAAGAAAAAAGAAAAGACAAUUUCAUCACCAGUGUAAUUAAGUGAGCUUCCCUACAGUAUCUUAACUUAGCUUCUCAUCUAAGUAAUAUGAAUCCAGCUAUAGUGGGUUUUGGUGUUUAUUUUAAUCUUGUAUUGUCAUUAGCCAGUUUGUUACAUUAGUUACCCUUGGGCAUAUUGUGGAAAUGGAUUUCUGUUGCAUUCUUUUUUUUUUUCUUUUUUAAGGAUUUAGGGUAUUAUGCCUGAGUGAAUUGAUUCAUAGGGAUUUUACUUACUCAUUCAUUGGGUGCUGCUGUGUUUUUGUUCUCCAUCUGGUUAAGCUGCUGUGUUUCUCUGUAUAGCAUUUGCACAGCAUUCACAUAAUACUUGGGUACAUAGGUGUCAGAUUUUCAUUAUGCCUGGAUGAUGUGAGUUGCGUGGAAAGCCUCCGGAACUAUAAACUCUCAUUUCCCAAUCAUGAAUAGUUAGGAAACCAGAGUUCUGCAUUUUCAUUAACACAGGGCCUUACAUGCCAGUUCAGCUUACUACCUGCUAAGCCUCCUAGUCUGUUGGAAAAUGUGCAUUGGCAGUUUUCCAGUCUUGCUCAGACUCAUAAAUAGGUGCCUUUCAUAUGAAAUAUAUUAUUUGCUUUGGCAUAUUGACACUGGAAUACAUUAUUCUUUUAGCAGUCAAACAAAUUAAAAUAAAAAUGAUGUUUUCUUAUUUUCAGUAUACUAAAAUGAGAAUAAUUGGGUUAAUAUCUUAAUCUGGCAGUCAUGAAUUAGAUUGUAUAUCUACAACCACACAAUUUGGUCAGAUAAAGGGCUUGGAAUAACCUGGAGAGCUUACCAAAAAAA